CACGUUAUCUUUUUCUUAAGUAGUUGUUAAAAAGAAGAUAACUUGACCUUAGCGUUCACCGUAUUUGGAUAAACGGUAUUGCAAAAACUCCCUAAUAUCUAUACAAUAU